rnacentral:rRNA from 1 species
AAAAAAAUAAAAAUUUAAAUUUUUAGAAAUAAGUUGAUUUAAAAAUUAUAUUAAUUUUAUAUUUCCUUUUAAAAUAAAAAUAAUUUUUAGAUGUGAAAUGCUUGUCAAAACUUAAAAUAUUUAGUUUAUAUAAAAAAAAAUUGUAUAUUGUUCUAUAAUAAAAGCUUUUAUUUAUAAAAUUUUAGAAGAUUAAUCUUGGGAUAAGCUAAGAUUUAAUUUUUUAAAAUUUUAAAAUUUUUUAAAGGAAGGAGUAAAAUUAUUCUAUAUAUUGUUAUAAUUAAUUUAUUUUUUAAAUAAAAAAUGAUUUUUUUUUAUUGGUUUAAGAUAAUUUUUACUUAAAAUAAAAAUGAAAGUAUUAGUAUAAGAACAUAUAAAUAAAAUAAAUUAAAAUAAAAUUAUUUACUUUAUUUAAAUAAAUUUAAAGAAUUCAACAAAUAAUUUUUCUGACUGUUUAAUAAAAACAACUUAUUUAGUUAAUAUUAUUAAAUGUAAAUCCUGCUCAAUGAAAAUCUUUAAAUUGCUGUAGUAUUUUGACUAUACAAAGGUAUUGUAAUAAGGUUUUAAUUGAAUGCUAAAAGAAUGGAAUUACAGGGAAAAGUUUUUUUAAAUUUAAUAAUUGAAGUUAUUUUAAUUUGUGAAGAAACAAUUAUAUAAAUUAAAGACAAGAAGACCCUAAGAAUUUAAGAAUUUUUAUUAAUAUAUUAUAUGUAUAUAUAUAUAAAUAAAAUUCUUAGUUGGGGCAACUAAAAAAUAUAUUAAACUUUUUUUUUAAAAAAAUGACCCAUUAUUAAUGAUAAUAUGAAAAAAAUACUCUAGGGAUAACAGCGUAAUAAUUUUUGAUAGAUCUUAUAGACAAAAUAGUUUGCGACCUCGAUGUUGGAUUAGGAUACUUUUUUAAUGAAGAUGUUAAAAAAAGAAGUUUGUUCAACUUUUAAAUUCCUACAUGAUCUGAGUUUAGACCGAUGAGAAUCAGGUUGGUUUCUAUCUUAAUUUAAAUUUAAUUUUAGCUAGUACGAAAGGAAUUCUAAAAAUUAAUUUUUUAAUAUAAUUAAAUUUUAUUUGCAUCAUUUUUUGGAAUUAUUAAAGUGGCAGAAAAAAAAUGCCAGGAAUUUAAGCUUCCUUAAUGAAAAAUUUCCUUUAAUAAUGUUAAAUUUUAUUCAAUUUACAAUUCUUAUUUUAGUAGUUUUAUUGAGAGUAGCAUUUUUUACACUAAUAGAGCGAAAAAUUUUAGGUUAUUGUCA